rnacentral:tRNA from 1 species
GCGGCAGUAGCUCAGAGGUAGAGCACCACCUUGCCAAGGUGGGGGUCGAGGGUUCGAGUCCCACUUGCCGCUCCA